UACGUAGGCAGCGAGCGUUUGUUCGGAAUUACUGGGCGUAAAGCGCGCGCAGGCGGUCUUCCAAGUCAGUGGUGAAAGCCCGGAGCUCAACUCCGGAACUGCCAUUGAAACUGUAAGACUUGAGGAUGAGAGAGGUGAGUGGAAUUCCCAGUGUAGAGGUGAAAUUCGUAGAUAUUGGGAAGAACACCGGUGGCGAAGGCGGCUCACUGGCUCAUAUCUGACGCUCAGGCGCGACAGCGUGGGGAUCAAACAGG
rnacentral:rRNA from 1 species